rnacentral:lncRNA from 1 species
UUCUCAAUCACGGUGACGUCAGAGCUCCAGCUUUCAAACUGUGAACUAUCACGCCCCAGACAAGGCUUCAUAAUGUAUUGUGUGAUGUGGAAAGGAGAAGAGGGUGUUUGGAAAAAGAUUAUAUGACAGACUCCUUCAUUACGCAGAAGGCUGGGGAACACUUUCUCUGUUCUAGAUAUUAAUAAAAUACAGCUUUUGUGGUCCCAAUAGGAGAUAAAAUGAUAGAGGUCUGCAAUUAGCACCAAGGUAGGUAUGAGGGAGUGAUGUAAAUACUGUCUGGCCGGCAGCUUGCCCAGGAGAUCAGUUUCUGACUGACAAUAGCAGGAGUUCAGAUUCAGGAGGUUCAUGGAAGAAAGCGUGGAGGAUGCUGGUAGCUCUAGGAUCAAGCACUGCCACGGGCCAGUUACGAGGCGAUUACCUGGGAAACCCGGAAGGCCCUCGUGGAGGAUUCUGGGGAGCCGACGUUGCGGCUCCUGAAGCGCAUGCGCCAGGAUUCCCGCCCCAGACACAGCAGCGGUGCCAUCCUGGCUAUGCUGCGUCUAGAUCCUUAUCUUGGGUUUCCAGCCUGGGUGGCCGGAGGCGCUGUGCCAACAGGGUGUUUGUUCUGCAGUUGUGUGUUAUUACUUCACUGCAUCGCCCAGAGGAAACUCAGUAG